AGAGGAGCGACUGCACGAGAUGAUAAAGUGUAAUCAGCUCGAGCAGCAGCUCAGUGACGAGGCGUCGCUGUGAGUUUCUUUAUAACCUUAAAGCUCCAAACACAACAUCUCAGAUCUGCAGUGGAUAUUAACCCUCUUCAGCUCGUCUCAAGAGAAUUAAACAUCAGGACAAAAGAGAAAGAGGAAAAUGGCAAAGAAAGAGGACGAGAUACAAACUAAAGAUCCAGGAGAGAAACAGAUCCCGAGACGAGUCAGACGAACCAGCAUUAACAGUGGAGCACCAAACUUUUCUCAUGAUCCAGAGGUUGAGUCUGACGAUUCAGAGACGCUCACAGAUGAGAAAGCUGUGGUUCCUGUCGUCUCACCAGCAGAAAAUUCUUCAUCAUGUUCAGUCACUGAAUGAGGGUUAGUGUGCACUACAUCCAGAAAGUAUUCACAGCGCUUCACUUUUUCUAGCCUUAUUCCAAAAUGGAUUAAUGGACAAACAAUACCCCAUAAUGGCAACGUGAAAGAAGUUUGUUUCAAAUCUUUGCAAAUUUAUUAAAAAUAAAUAACGAAAAAAAAUCACAUGUAGUCACAGCCUUAAAAUUGAGCUCAGGUGCUCCUGUUUCCACUGAUCAUCCUUGAGAUGUUUCUACAACUUGACUGGAGUCCACCUGUGCUAAAUUCAGUUGAUUGGACAUGAUUUGGAAAGGCACACACCUGUCUAUAUAAGGUCCCACGGUUAGAUGGCAUGCAGCAAUGUACAGAGACAUCCUUGAUGAAAACCUGCUCUAGAGCGCUCUGGACCUUAGACUGGGGUGAAGGUUUCUCUUCCAACAGGACAACGACCCUAAGCACACAGCCAAGAUAACAAAGGAGUGGCUACGGGACAACUCUGUGAAUGUCCAGACUUGAACCCGAUUGAACAUCUCUGGAGAGAUCUGAAAAUGGCUGCACACCGACACUCCCCAUCUAACCUGAUUUAGCUUGAGAGGUCCUGCAAAUAAGAAGAAUGGUAGGAACUGCCCAAAAAUAGGUGUGCCAAGCUUGUAGCAUCAUACUCAAAAAGACUUGAGGCUGGAAAUGGUGCCAAAGGUGCUUCAACAAAGUAUUGAGCAAAGGCUGUGAAUACUUUUGUACAUGUGAUUUUUGUAAUUUUUAAUAAAUUUGCAAAGAUUUCAAACAAACUUCUUUCACGUUGUCAUUAUGGGGUAUUGUUUGUAGAAUUUUGAGGAAAAUAAUGUAUUUAAUCCAUUGUGGAAUAAGGCUAUAACAUAACAAAAUGUGGAAAAAUUGAAGUGCUGUGAAUACUUUCCGGAUGCACUGUAAUAUUGUACUGGACAUGAUAUUGUAAAUCUAUUACUAGAAUUAAUUGUAAAUAUGAAUUAGAUUUAUUUUUUAAUGAAAUUAGUUUCACUAAAAAAACAAAAAACAAAAUAUGUACUGCUCUAGAAGAAUAAACCUGAUUGAAAUGUUCAGAACAUAAAUAGAUAAAAAUCUUGAAACUUAAA